GAUGAAGAACGCAGCGAACUGCGAUAAGUAAUGUGAAUUGCAGAAUUCAGUGAAUCAUCGAGUCUUUGAACGCACAUUGCGCCCCCUGGUAUUCCGGGGGGCAUGCCUGUCCGAGCGUCAUUGCUGCCCUCAAGCACGGCUUGUGUGUUGGGCCCCGUCCUCCGAUCCCGGGGGACGGGCCCGAAAGGCAGCGGCGGCACCGCGUCCGGUCCUCGAGCGUAUGGGGCUUUGUCACCCGCUCUGUAGGCCCGGCCGGCGCUUGCCGAUCAACCCAAAUUUUUAUCCAGGUUGACCUCGGAUCAGGUAGGGAUACCCGCUGAACUUAAGCAUAUCAAUAAGCGGAGGA
rnacentral:misc_RNA from 1 species